UACGGGGGGGAGCAAGCGUUGUUCGGAUUUACUGGGCGUAAAGGGCGCGUAGGCGGCCAGUGCAAGUCAGUUGUGAAAUCUCCGAGCUUAACUCGGAAAGGUCAACUGAUACUGCUCGGCUAGAGUGCGGAAGGGGCAACUGGAAUUCUUGGUGUAGCGGUGAAAUGCGUAGAUAUCAAGAGGAACACCUGCGGCGAAGGCGGGUUGCUGGGCCGACACUGACGCUGAAGUGCGAAAGCUAGGGGAGCGAACGGG
rnacentral:rRNA from 1 species